rnacentral:lncRNA from 1 species
AUCUCUAUGAUAUCUUUUCCAUUUAAGUCUUGAUCUCAAUCCCUGUAAUAUAGGAAACUAUUGUUAAUAGCUUAACCUAGUAGCGCAUGUGCUCUAGUAUAUAUAUCUCUUCCUUCUCAUGUAAAGGAUAUAUUGAAAACACAUUCCUUACAGGGAUAGACUAGUGUUUAUAUUAUCCUGACAGGAACCAAGUGUUUCGAUUCCUAGAAAAAAAGAAAAGAUUUAUUCAUUCUUCUUGUGGAGGUUUGAGUGGUGUCGGUGACGAUUUUAGGUAGUAAAAAGAAAAGAACAAGAGCUAACGAACGUUGUACUGAUGUGUUAUUGUUUUGGCCUGUUUCGUCGGAUCAUCAGUUAGUGGAUUAUAUGUAGUUAGCUGUUUUUAGUUGAAUUUUGUAUGUAAUGAAGCAUGAAACCGUAUGAUGAAUGUAUUGAUUAUUGUUAUUUAUUUAUGUUCUUUACG